UACGUAGGGGGCAAGCGUUGUCCGGAAUCAUUGGGCGUAAAGAGCGCGUAGGCGGCCCUGUAAGUCCGCUGUGAAAGUCAAGGGCUCAACCCUUGGAUGCCGGUGGAUACUGCAGGGCUAGAGUCCGGAAGAGGCGAGUGGAAUUCCUGGUGUAGCGGUGAAUGCGCAGAUAUCAGGAGGAACACCGGAUGGCGAAGGCAGCUCGCUGGGACGGUACUGACGCUGAGGCGCGAAGCGUGGGAGCAACAGG
rnacentral:rRNA from 1 species